rnacentral:lncRNA from 1 species
CUAUUCACACCCAUGGAAACCGCCCCGUGGAGUCCUGGCGUGGGGCCAUGGUGCGAGCUCCACUUGUCCUAGGAGGCGGGCCAGCUCAGGAGCUCCCUGGUGGUCUGAGUCCCAACCCAAAUCUCCCUUUUGUUUCCCAGAUGGCUUUUUCCCAAGCUCUUGGAAACUAAUCAAAGUAAUGUUAAAUGAGAAAUGAUCACGCGGUCUGUACGGACCCCACACUUUGACUCAAAGCCUGGCCUUCUGGACUGGCCCCCUACGCUCAGUGCCAGUGUCCCUCGGCUCCUUUUGGAGCAGUGUUGGACUGAGCAGCCUGCGAUGGGACCGCCCAAGCUCAGCUUUCUUGUUGGCUGUGUCUGUCUAGAACCUGUGUGCUUACCUUUCUCCUGUCCUCCUACGUCCCCUCCCCAGCGUGACAGCAGUUACCUCUGGCGAGAGGAGGGAGCAAGACCGCGGAAGGAACAAAGACAGCCUCAACUUUAUCUGCAAUCUUCUAUUUCCGUUAUAAAAUUAAGUUUGUGUUGAGGAGUUGCUUAUACACAGGCGCCGUGAGAGAGGUGCUACGUGGAGAGCUGUUUGGACCUGGGCCCUACGCUUUAUAAAGAGAUGACACUGGAAGGCGCAAACUCUGUGAACAGAGUCAUUUGAGGAGCAGAAUAAAAACGUUUAACGCCGUGGCAUAGAAUGAAACUAUAUUGUCUUGAAUUCCAGCUAGGUCAAAGAGCUGCAAGGGAGGCUGCAGAGAAAUGGGCUGCACGGAGAAGGCCUUCCCAGAACGGGCCAUAAAGGAGGCACUCGGGAUGCGUCAGCGGCGGAUGGCAAUGCAAGAGGCUGAGAAUCAGAUCAAACCGGAGCCAGAGCUCUUUGCUCACUGGCUAAGUCUGUCAUUCGCUCAGUGGGGAGCCUGGAGGGUCCUCGCUUCCUGGUAUAGUCUUUUUAUCUUGUAUGUAAGAAUACCUGAGUUGUGUGCUGGAAAAUCCACGCGGGUCAUUAGAUCUCAGAGUGUAAGUCACUCGCAGCAAAUACUUUUGUUACUUUAAGACAGUCUCACAUUAAGGAAUCUGGCCAGGUAUUGUGGAAGGUUUUGACUUCCCCUAUCAAAACUCAGCUUCUAAGAAUGAAUAAAACCAGG